GAUUUCAACUGAAAAAGUCAUCAAUAAAAAAGUGGUAUAACUCAUCAAGAUCUAUAACUUUUAUUUUGAUCAUUUUUUCAUCCGACAAAGUGUUUUGUAACAUUGUUCAUAAAAUAUACAUAUCUCUUAUAUAGUUUAUAAACUACAGGAGAUAUAUGUAAAUUAUGUGAAUAUUGUUAUUAUCACUUUGUCGGAUGAAUAAAUGACCAAAAUAAAAGUUAUAGAUAUUGAUGAGUUAUACAACUUUGUUAUUGAUAACUUUUUAAGUAGAAAUC
rnacentral:pre_miRNA from 1 species